AAUUCUCAACUUCAAAAGCUUUUGCUUAUUGAAGCUUGGAUGUGGAGGCUUUGCUGGCUCUUCUUCUAGAGUCGGCUCCUCUGAAAUGCAUUAGUGGAAACUUUUUGCAAUCCGCAUUGGUGUGAUAAUUAUCUACGCUUAUGUUGUGGUUGCAGCUCUUUACUGAGUUUAGUAUCUGCUUCAAACCGUCCUAAGUUACUGGACAACUUGAACC
rnacentral:misc_RNA from 1 species